rnacentral:tRNA from 1 species
GUCCCUAUAGUAUAAAGGAUAGAACGAUAGCCUCCGGAGCUGUAGAUAGCGGUUCGAUUCCGCUUGGGGACG